rnacentral:misc_RNA from 1 species
GGUCACUCAAAUCUCUCCGAUUCCGAUCAACUUUCACUAGAAGAUCGAAAUCGAGAAUCAAUGGAUUCCAUGCGUAAAAGUGAUUCAGAAGAACAAGUUUCAUCUGCGUCUUCAUCAUCAUCAGAUUGGAAGGAACGGUUUCUUUUUCCGACUCUCUUAGCUGGGGUGGCUGGUGGAGGAGCUGGUUUGGUAUCAAAGCACAGGAAAGUUCAUGGCUUAGCAAACAUUUGUGCAACUUAUGCAACGAAUUUUGCUAUCGUCACUGCAUGUUAUUGCGGUGCUCGUGAGUUCGUAAGAGCAAGUAGAACAGGAAAGCCUGAUGAUCUGCUGAACUCAGCUAUUGGAGGUUUUGGUAGUGGUGCUAUACUUGGACGUCUGCAAGGUGGUCAACUUGGUGCUGUUCGUUAUUCUGUCAUGUUUGCAGUUGUGGGAACAACAGUUGAUUAUGCUACUAUAAGAGUAAAACCAGCCUUGAGAAGCUACUACGACUCUCUGGUCAAUAAGAAGGAUGAUUGGCUAAAACUUCCUGAAUGGUCGCCUAUCCAAGUGCUUGACGAGGAAGCUCUUGCUGCAAAGCGUGCUCGGGAAGAGGAGCUAUACAGAAGUGUCCACAAUCUGAAGAAGGAAUCAUGAUGGAGAAACACUUCCAAUUCGAUAUCCUUUGGAGAGACGGGAUCUUUCUUUUGAUUGAAGACACUUUAGUGCAGUUGCUGGCACAGAUCGUAGAAACAGAAAAUGGCAAAGCAUUUGAUGGGUGUUCAAUGUUUUUCCGAGCUUACAACACAAGUUGCGUUACACUGAUGGAAAGUACAAAUCUGGAAUAAAUAUUUGCUAUGUUAUGGCAAAAUAAAUUGAAAAAGGCAUGAAAAAUCAUCGUUAUAAGAGAAA